rnacentral:rRNA from 1 species
AGAUUUGAUCCUGGCUCAGGAUGAACGCUGGCGGCGUGCUUAACACAUGCAAGUCGAACGAGAUCUACGGAUAGAGGCUUCGGCCAAUUGAAGUAGAGGAAAGUGGCGGACGGGUGAGUAACGGUGAGGAACCUGCCUAGGAGUGGGGAAUAACAGUCCGAAAGGACUGCUAAUACCGCAUAAGCAGUUGGGUCGCAUGGCUCUGACUGCCAAAGAUUUAUCGCUCUUAGAUGGCCUCGCGUCGAUUAGCUAGUUGGUGAGGUAACGGCUCACCAAGGCGACGAUCAGUAGCCGGACUGAGAGUUGGCCGGCCACAUUGGGACUGAGACACGGCCCAGACUCCUACGGGAGGCAGCAGUGGGGAUAUUGGGCAAUGGGCGCAAGCCUGACCCAGCAACGCCGCGUGAAGGAAGAAGGCUUUCGGUUGUAAACUUCUUUUAACAGGGACGAAACAAAUGACGGUACCUGUUGAAUAAGCCACGGUAACUACGUGCCAGCAGCCGCGGUAAUACGUAGGUGGCAAGCGUUAUCCGGGAUUUACUGGUGUAAAGGGCGUG